rnacentral:rRNA from 1 species
AUUGAACGCUGGCGGCAUGCCUUACACAUGCAAGUCGAACGGCAGCACGGGGGCAACCCUGGUGGCGAGUGGCGAACGGGUGAGUAAUACAUCGGAAUGUACCCAGUAGUGGGGGGAUAACUAGUCGAAAGAUUAGCUAAUACCGCAUACGCACUAUGGUGGAAAGCGGGGGAUCGCAAGACCUCGCGCUAUUGGAGCAGCCGAUGUCCGAUUAGGUAGUUGGUGGGGUAAAAGCCUACCAAGCCUGCGAUCGGUAACUGGUCUGAGAGGACGACCAGUCACACUGGGACUGAGACACGGCCCAGACUCCUACGGGAGGCAGCAGUGGGGAAUUUUGGGACAAUGGGGAAACCCUGAUCCAGCAAUGCCGCGUGUGUGACGAAGGCCU